UACGGAGGGUGCAAGCGUUAAUCGGAAUUACUGGGCGUAAAGCGUGCGUAGGCGGUUCGUUAAGUCUGUUGUGAAAGCCCCGGGCUCAACCUGGGAAUGGCAAUGGAUACUGGCGAGCUAGAGUGUGUCAGAGGAUGGUGGAAUUCCCGGUGUAGCGGUGAAAUGCGUAGAGAUCGGGAGGAACAUCAGUGGCGAAGGCGGCUCACUGGACCGGUUCUGACGCUGAGGCGCGAAAGCGUGGGGAGCAAACGGG
rnacentral:rRNA from 1 species